GGUCUCCCUGUGAACGCCGUUUAGCCAGAGGUGCGUUCCUUCACAAGCAGCAGCAGCAUGGAAGAACCUCUGGUUGGAUAAACAAACAUCACUUAAGCAAGGAGAACAAUCACUGGUGUAUUUUAGCUACACAAUAAGGUAACCUCUCAAUCAUUUAACAGGCUUUAGAAAGUCGUUUUUGUUCUCUCUAUUGCCAAGGAAGCACAUAGUAAUCCACUGUGAAAAAAAGACCUUAUGCUGAAUGUAAUAUUGUAAACAGAGCGUCAAAAGCAGGUGUUUCACACGCGGGUUUCAUCUGUACGUCCACGAUAUGCAGAAUGUAUAGCCGGCGGCCAUGGACGGAAAUAGAACCAACAGCCUGGCAAUAAACUGUCAAGGGACAAGAAGCAAAAAGGUUAAAAUGAGGAGGAGGAACAGCACAGAACCAGCUAAUGAAAGACGGACUGUACUACAGAAAAUCCUCCACAACAACAGGAGGGAAACCAGAGAGCAUCUACAACCGUAUGUGAUAAAGGGAGACGAAGGAUUGUGACCUUCUGACCCCAUUGCUCCUUGUCGGUUUUGCAAGGAACCGUCUCCGUCCCUGAGAAUCGAUGCAGCGGGGGCCUCCUGGCCCUCCUCUUCCGAUCGCAGAGGCCCAAAUGUGUCAUCAAUGUGUCAUUGAGCAUACGUCUUCUCGCCCAGAGGCGACAGGACCCCCGCCGCCCCUCCUCAGCACCCCCUCCCUGCCCCGUCGGAUGAGCGGGCGGAGAGCGGCGUUUACCCCCAUUCUGUGAAAUGGUGCAGAAAACAGGGGAACGAGGGACACGCCCCGUAGUGUCUAUCAAUCCCGAGUCUGCAGCGCUGACCUCCUGUGAAACUUCAUCUAGACGCCCUCAUCUAUCUGUCCGUGAAUGGGGACAGGAGGUAAAGAAGGAGGGGGUGGCACCGGAGCCGGCAGCCAAUCUCCCCUCCCUUCUCCGAUGCAUAAUUCAGUGUUUCUCUCACAACAGCCUGCGCUUCGAAGGGCUCAGCUCCCCCCAGCCAUGCGGCCGGCAGUCUGCUAAUAUGAAAGAAGCUCCGAAUCCACUCUGUUGUUCCUUCAGGCUUUCUGGCUCUACAUUCUCCGUCAUACUUGUAUGAUUUAUUCAGCUUGUUCAUCCACGGCGUGAGACUCGGACCCCAAAGGACGAGUUGGGGAAACAUUUUUGUCCUUGCCGGGAUCCAGCCGCAGAACUUGGCAGAGGAAGUGUGUCGGCAUCGCCGUGGGUUGUCGGAGUGACACUGGAGUAGCUUGACCUCCCGCUGGUGGUUGGUUUUACGGCUCCUUCAGAGAGGCGCGCUGCUGAGCCACUGUACAGCAACCCUGCCUUGGCCUCAAUCAGCAGCCCAGGAAGAAAGCAGAGAGGACAAGAGCACAGGGUGACUCUUCCUGUUCCUCCAAACACUGUCCGCUUUUACCAGUCAUUGAAAGUUCACUGAAAAAACUUUUUUUUUAUAUCUUUCCCUUUCCCAAUAACUUAGACAACAUGUACACGUCUUGUGUAAAUACGUUGUAAUUGUGGUUUGUAUUGACUCACGCUAAACAUUUAGUGGUUUGUUGGUUGAGGGAAAGCGGCCAGCUGUUUAUAGACCUCUGGUUGGUAUAAUAAAGUGCCUCCUCACUGAACCACCAGACUACUUUUUAUCUCCCUAGAAGUGUUCAUUAUUGAAACCCGGCACCACCACAGCCAUGAAACGGAAACUGUGUUGAUUACUUUUGUCUGCUACUACAGGGAAUUGAGCAAGAGGAAGAGAUGCUAAACACGCCACGAUCCUCUAGGACUAGGUCAAGGGUCACCAGUCCUUACCACUGUUCAUUGUGUAUACAAUUUUGUUGCUGAAAAUAAAA
ensembl:lncRNA